GACGAACGCUGGCGGCGUGCUUAACACAUGCAAGUCGAACGGAAAGGCCCUGCUUUUGUGGGGUGCUCGAGUGGCGAACGGGUGAGUAACACGUGAGUAACCUGCCCUUGACUUUGGGAUAACUUCAGGAAACUGGGGCUAAUACCGGAUAGGAGCUCCUGCUGCAUGGUGGUGGUUGGAAAGUUUCGGCGGUUGGGGAUGGACUCGCGGCUUAUCAGCUUGUUGGUGGGGUAGUGGCUUACCAAGGCUUUGACGGGUAGCCGGCCUGAGAGGGUGACCGGCCACAUUGGGACUGAGAUACGGCCCAGACUCCUACGGGAGGCAGCAGUGGGGAAUAUUGCGCAAUGGGCGGAAGCCAGAUGCAGCAACGCCGCGUGCGGGAUGACGGCCUUCGGGUUGUAAACCGCUUUCGCCUGUGACGAAGCGUGAGUGACGGUAAUGGGUAAAGAAGCACCGGCUAACUACGUG
rnacentral:rRNA from 1 species